AGAAUUACCUACUGUUUAAUUUUGAGGGUUCGUUUUUACGAAUACUCAAAAUUAGCACUUUUAGCAACAGAAUAAACUGAACGCAUGUGAAGUUUGUUUGUUGGCGCUGUGCGUUAGCACUUUNNNNNNNNNNNAGUGAAACUCAAAGGAAUUGACGGGGACCCGCACAAGUAGCGGAGCAUGUGGUUUAAUUCGAAGCAACGCGAAGAACCUUACCUAAGCUUGACAUCCCAAUGACAUCUCCUUAAUCGGAGAGUUCCCUUCGGGGACAUUGGUGACAGGUGGUGCAUGGUUGUCGUCAGCUCGUGUCGUGAGAUGUUGGGUUAAGUCCCGCAACGAGCGCAACCCUUGUCUUUAGUUGCCAUCAUUAAGUUGGGCACUCUAGAGAGACUGCCAGGGAUAACCUGGAGGAAGGUGGGGAUGACGUCAAAUCAUCAUGCCCCUUAUGCUUAGGGCUACACACGUGCUACAAUGGGUAGUACAGAGGGUUGCCAAGCCGUAAGGUGGAGCUAAUCCCUUAAAGCUACUCUCAGUUCGGAUUGUAGGCUGAAACUCGCCUACAUGAAGCUGGAGUUACUAGUAAUCGCAGAUCAGAAUGCUGCGGUGAAUGCGUUCCCGGGUCUUGUACACACCGCCCGUCACACCACGGGAGUUGGAGACGCCCGAAGCCGAUUAUCUAACCUUUUGGAAGAAGUCGUCGAAGGUGGAAUCAAUAACUGGGGUGAAGUCGUAACAAGGUAGCCGUAUCGGAAGGUGCGGCUG
rnacentral:rRNA from 1 species